CCAACCAUUAGCAUGUUCAGAUUAAAUAUUAAUCGCAAAACAGUUGGGAAUUUUUAUUAAACGGCAAAGAGCAUAAAGCUUUCAUUUCUCUUGCUUCCUUGAGAAAAAAAAAACAGUCCUAAUAUCCUUAUUAUCUUUUUAAUUUAGGUGUAAUUGCUGUUUUGGGAUCACAGAGUCUGUUAUUGACACACUGAGCACUGGAGCUUGAAAUAGCAGUCUUAAUCAUGCAAGUCGCUGAAGGAGGCUCCCACUAGGUAAAGCGCUCUAAACGGGCGAUCCGUUCAUGAAGAUAUACGGAGAGCUGGCAGCUUCCCUGGGAAGGUUAACGUCUUCAAAAAGGAGAAAAAGGAAGACAUUUUGUUUCUAGAGCAAUGAGGCAAAGGAUUCCAAGAUGAACGCUACCGGGAAUGCUGAACACCAGGGACUGCAUCAGGAACGCUGAACACCAGGGACUGCAUCGGGAACGCUGAACACCAGGGACUGCACCGGGCACGCUGAACACCAGGGACUGCACCAGGAACACUAACACUG